UACGGAGGGUGCAAGCGUUGUCCGGAUUCAUUGGGUUUAAAGGGUGCGCAGGCGGGCGAUUAAGUCAGGGGUGAAAGACGGUUGCUCAACAAUCGCAGUGCCUUUGAUACUGGUUGUCUUGGGUGACCUUGAGGUAGGCGGAAUGGGUGGUGUAGCGGUGAAAUGCAUAGAUACCACCCAGAACUCCGAUUGCGAAGGCAGCCUACUGGAGGUUCACCGACGCUCAGGCACGAAAAGCGUGGGGAUCAAACAGG
rnacentral:rRNA from 1 species